ACCACAUCAGUCAUUCCGAUGCCAUCAGCUACACGCUCGCGUGGUUUUAUCACCACCAAUCGUGAUGCAUUUCCCGACUUGAAAGGUCAAUUCGUCGGCUGAAUAAAGAGGAGAGAGCAGAGGGAGGGAACCGGGGACACUGUGCAGGGAUAGAGUUUCUAUCUCUGCCGGUAACGGAUCUCUUUGACCACCGUAGAUUCGGUUUCUCCGCCGCUGCGGACUCGCAUAACAAAACGCACGCGACGCUUUAACGGAGAUACACAUCUAGUAUUUACCCAACGAUGAUCCGUUUCCCGUGUUGUUAUUUUUGUUUCGCAAACCGUAGAACAAACUCAUGGUGAUCGCCGAGCGCGCUGCGCGGUCGCUGCCCGGCGUCGUGUUACCUUCCUGCGGGCACCAUGGGUUCGUGAGAUGCCUUCGCUGUGGAAACGGAUCACCUUCUCGGUGGCCUCGGUGCUCUGUGUCGGCUCCGUGGGGCUCCUGGUCGUGGCCUUGUCCACGGAGCGGUGGGUCACCGGACGGAUCCUGUGUAAAACCGGGGCGGAGAUAGUGAACGCGUCCCACCCGGAGCUGGAGCAGUUCAUCGGGGACAUUUACUACGGCUUGUUCCAGGGAGGGAAGACCAAGAGGUGCGGGCUCGGCAACAGGCGCUCCAAAAUAUACAUUUUCCCAAAGCUUGUGCGGACGUUGAAUGGCGGCCUUCACGUGAUGGUGAUCCUGUUCCUGCUGGUGGCCGUGGGUUUCGCGCUGGUCAGUCUGUCUUUCUGCAUAUACAACGCCCGCAAAGUUCCCUACCAGAGCAUCAAAGGGCUCAAAGGAUUGUACCUAUGGAACUUCAUUGCUGCCCUUUUCGGAGCCCUGGGCGUGCUGUGUUUCCUGGCGGCCCUGAGACACCACAGUCUGACCGAGCGGAUAGCCAAUCAUCAGGAGGACCUCUUUGUGCUGGUUGUCCUGGACGACAGCCUGGACUGGUCCUUCUGGCUGGGUGUGGGCAGCAUUGCGACUCACUGUGCCGCCUGCGGAGUGGCCGCCAUGAGCCGGAUCAAACUGCCCAAACCGGAGAUCAAGAAACCUGAAGAACCCACCAUUUCUGCUUUGGACCUCCUCUACUGAAGGACCAAGGAGCGCUUACUUCACCACUAUGAAGCCACAAUGACUGACAGCAGUGUGAAACCAGCAUUCUGAAGUUUCUGAAAAAGCAACCUACACUAUUCUGUAUCUGUAAUAUACUUGACUAAAUGUACUUUCCAUGCGUGGUUAACUGAAGGUUUGUGUCACUAUUCGUGUCAUUAGUUUGAGGCCGCAGGUGAUUCAAAGCUUCGUGCAGCUGCUCGCCGCUGCCGCCACGCGGCGACGAAUGACUUCCCUGGUCGCGCUUUGGUGACGUAGAAACAACGCGACGGCGUCAGGGCGAUCGACUCUUGUCACUCGCAUGCGACCUCUGCAUCUUUGAGUUAGUUAGUCUGUUUGGGGGUUUUAUGUAUGUACAGCAGAUGACGAUGCUUCUUUUGAGGAAAACCGGGCCGACGGCGGCGCGGACGAAAUACUGCCGGUUAUUUUCUGCGUCACGGACUCACCUGAACGACAGAAAAGGUCUGGUGCUGGGAGCUUUUGAGAAGGAGGGAGACGAGGCUGGCCUUCAUCUUACUGAAGCAGCUGCUAGUUUUGAUAAAAACAUUUCUGGAAAACUCUCUGAACUGCUGAAAAUCUCUGGGCCGACUCUCAAGAAAGGCAGAAGCAGAAUAUUUUAUGGAAUCCACGAGGACUUCCCGUGUGUGGCAGUAGUUGGGCUGGGUAAGACCAGUGCAGGUGUGUGUGCUUCAGAAAACUGGGACACCAGCAAAGAGAACAUCAGACAGGCGGCAUCAGCUGGCUGCCGCCUGCUCCAGGACCUGGAGGUCAACCAUGUGGAGGUGGACGGCUGCGGCGAUGCCCAAUCGGCAGCAGAAGGCGCCGCUCUGGGUUUGUUCCAGUACGACCAACUCAAAUCUAAGAAGAAGACUAAAGUAACCACACAGCUCCACGGAAGUUCUGACUCGGCCGGGUGGCAGAAAGGAGUCAAGUAUGCAGAUGGCCAGAAUCUGGCACGGCUACUCAUGGAAGCUCCCGCCAAUCACGUCACUCCUACUGCUUUUGCCAACACAAUCGAAGAGCGAUUGGCGGUGCUUUCUGAAAGAGUCACAGUAAACAAGAGAUCUCAGGCCUGGAUAGAGCAGCAACAAAUGGGAGCGUUUCUCAGUGUGUCCAGAGGCUCAGAAGAGCCCCCUGUCUUCCUGGAGCUACAUUACAACGGUUCUCCUGACAGCAAGCAGCCCCCACUGCUCUUAGUGGGCAAGGGCAUCACCUUUGACAGUGGUGGUAUUUCUCUGAAGCCAUCUCCUUCCAUGGAUGCGAUGAGAGCUGAUAUGGGGGGAGCGGCCACAGUCUGCGCAUCCAUCGUCACGGCAGCGGCUCUUAAACUACCAAUCAACAUUAUUGGUCUGGCUCCCCUGUGUGAGAACAUGCCCAGUGGAAAAGCUACGAAACCAGGGGAUGUCGUCACGGC